rnacentral:lncRNA from 1 species
AUGGCUCCUUGGUAUACCGAGGAGCUCUGGGAGAUGAAGCGUCGUCGGAGGGGCUUAGAGAGCAGGUGGAGGUCCACCCGUUCCCAAUCCGAUCGAGACCAGCUAAGAGCCCAUAUUAGGACUUACCUGGUAGCUAUGAGGGCGGCGAGGAGAUCUUAUCUCUCCACCCUCAUAGCGUCCACAGAUAACCGCCCAGCCGCCCUGUUUUGGGUCACCCGCGCUCUCCGUAUAGAGGGAGGGGCGGACCUGUUGCAGGGAAGGGCUGAGGAGUUUGGUCAACAUCUGUCGAACAAGAUCGCUCGGAUUCGGGACGGGUUGUCCUCUGAUUUGCAGUGGUCUGAGCAGGGGGGUGCAAGCAGUCUGGCCAGUGUGAUCUGGGAUGAGUUUGAUCCUGUUUCAAAGGAUGAAGUGGACAGGAUUAUGCGGCGGCUGAGUUCCACCACAUGUUUGUUGGACCCGUGUCCCUCCUGGUUGGCGUAUGCCGCCAGGGAGGCCACCUGCGGUUGGCUCUGGGCACUUGUCAACGCUUCAUUAAGAGAGGGUGUUUUUCCCUCUGCCUUGAAGGAGGCGGUGGUGAGACCCCUCUUGAAGAAGCCUGCCCUGAACCCGACCGUGUUAGACAACUUUCAUCCAGUCUCCAACCUUCGCUUCUUGGCGAAGGUUGUUGAGAGUGUGGUGGCCCAGCAGUUUCCACUUUUCCUGGAUGAAGCGGACUACCUGGAUCCGUAUCAAUCGGGCUUCCGACCCGGUUACAGCAUGGAGAUGGCAUUGGUCGCGCUGAUGGAUGAUCUCUGGAGGGCUCAGGACAGGGGCUUUUCCUCUGUCCUGGUCCUAUUAGACCUCUCAGCGGCUUUUGAUACCAUCGACCAUGGUAUCCUUUUGCGACGCCUCGAGGGGUUGGGAAUGGGGGGCACUGUUCUUCAGUGGUUCGCCUCCUACCUCUCGGGGCGGUCGCAAUCGGUGUUGGCGGGGGGGUUGAGAUCAAGACCAAGAUGCCCUGCACACAGUCACUCAUGCCCUUGUUACCCCUAG